CGAUGGUGUCACAACUAAGGACAGAGCCCAGGCUUCUCCGCAAAAUACAACACCUACAGCUUCAUGGAGGACACAACAAAUGAAAUAAUCCUUUUUCAGUUAGUGCAGGUGACAGAGGCAUCCAGCUCUGCUGCCAUGGAGCCAGUGGGGUUCAGGAGAGGACUUGAUUAUCUCCUUGAGUAAGGUCUUGAAGUG